rnacentral:tRNA from 1 species
CGGACGUGUGCGCGCGAGCGCCGGGGCCGAGAAACUCCAUAGCGCACUGCACCCGGAGAAGCCCUGGUUCGGUGUCAGCGGACGCGGGUUCGAUUCCCGCCACCUCCACCCA